GAUGAAUGCUGGCGGCGUGCCUAACACAUGCAAGUCGAGCGGCAGCGCGAGUAGUUUACUACUUGGCGGCGAGCGGCGGACGGCUGAGUAACGCGUGGGAACAUGCCCCAAAGUGAGGAAUAACUGCCCGAAAGGGUAGCUAAUGCCGCAUAUGAUCUUCGGAUUAAAGGAUUUAUCCGCUUUGGGAGUGGCCUGCGUACGAUUAGAUAGUUGGUGAGGUAAAGGCUCACCAAGUCUACGAUCGUUAACUGGUCUGAGAGGAUGAUCAGUCAGACUGGAACUGAGACACGGUCCAGACUCCUACGGGAGGCAGCAGUGAGGAAUCUUCCACAAUGGGCGAAAGCCUGAUGGAGCAACGCCGCGUGCAGGAUGAAGGCCUUCGGUCGUAAACUGCUUUAUAAGUGAAGAAUAUGACGGUAACUUAUGAAUAAGCACCGGCUAACUACGUGCCAGCAGCCGCGGUAAACGUAGACGUG
rnacentral:rRNA from 1 species